rnacentral:rRNA from 1 species
AGCGUUGUCCGGAAUUAUUGGGCGUAAAGAGCUCGUAGGCGGUUUGUCGCGUCUGCUGUGAAAUCCCGAGGCUCAACCUCGGGUCUGCAGUGGGUACGGGCAGACUAGAGUGCGGUAGGGGAGAUUGGAAUUCCUGGUGUAGCGGUGGAAUGCGCAGAUAUCAGGAGGAACACCGAUGGCGAAGGCAGAUCUCUGGGCCGUAACUGACGCUGAGGAGCGAAAGCAUGGGGAGCGAACAGGAUUAGAUACCCUGGUAGUCCAUGCCGUAAACGUUGGGAACUAGAUGUGGGGACCAUUCCACGGUCUCCGUGUCGCAGCUAACGCAUUAAGUUCCCCGCCUGGGGAGUACGGCCGCAAGGCUAAAACUCAAAGGAAUUGACGGGGGCCCGCACAAGCGGCGGAGCAUGCGGAUUAAUUCGAUGCAACGCGAAGAACCUUACCAAGGCUUGACAUAUACCGGAAACAUGCAGAGAUGUGUGCCCCGCAAGGUCGGUAUACAGGUGGUGCAUGGUUGUCGUCAGCUCGUGUCGUGAGAUGUUGGGUUAAGUCCCGCAACGAGCGCAACCCUCGUUCUAUGUUGCCAGCACGUAAUGGUGGGAACUCAUAGGAGACUGCCGGGGUCAACUCGGAGGAAGGUGGGGAUGACGUCAAAUCAUCAUGCCCCUUAUGUCUUGGGCUUCACGCAUGCUACAAUGGCCGGUACAAAGGGCUGCGAUACCGUAAGGUGGAGCGAAUCCCAAAAAGCCGGUCUCAGUUCGGAUUGAGGUCUGCAACUCGACCUCAUGAAGUCGGAGUCGCUAGUAAUCGCAGAUCAGCAACGCUGCGGUGAAUACGUUCCCGGGCCUUGUACACACCGCCCGUCAAGUCAUGAAAGUCGGUAACACCCGAAGCCAG